rnacentral:rRNA from 1 species
UAGCCGUACUGGAAGGUGCGGCUGGAUCACCUCCUUU